GAUCUCCUUCGGGAGUGACGCUUGUGGAACGAGCGGCGGACGGGUGAGUAACACGUGGGCAACCUACCUGUAAGACUGGGAUAACUCCGGGAAACCGGGGCUAAUACCGGAUGAAACAAAGCGUCGCAUGACGCAAUGUUAAAAGGCGGCAUAUGCUGUCACUUACAGAUGGGCCCGCGGCGCAUUAGCUAGUUGGUGAGGUAAAGGCUCACCAAGGCAACGAUGCGUAGCCGACCUGAGAGGGUGAUCGGCCACACUGGGACUGAGACACGGCCCAGACUCCUACGGGAGGCAGCAGUAGGGAAUCUUCCGCAAUGGACGAAAGUCUGACGGAGCAACGCCGCGUGAGUGAUGAAGGUUUUCGGAUCGUAAAACUCUGUUGUUAGGGAAGAACAAGUGCCAUUCAAAUAGGUUGGCACCUUGACGGUACCUAACCAGAAAGCCCCGGCUAACUACGUGCCAGCAGCCGCGGUAAUACGUAGGGGGCAAGCGUUGUCCGGAAUUAUUGGGCGUAAAGC
rnacentral:rRNA from 1 species